CAGUCGCCACGGUAAUACGAAGGGUGCAAGCGUUACUCGGAAUUACUGGGCGUAAAGCGUGCGUAGGUGGUGGUUUAAGUCCGUUGUGAAAGCCCUGGGCUCAACCUGGGAAUUGCAGUGGAUACUGGGUCACUAGAGUGUGGUAGAGGAUAGUGGAAUUUCCGGUGUAGCAGUGAAAUGCGUAGAGAUCGGAAGGAAUACCGGUGGCGAAGGCGGCCCCCUGGACAAAGACUGACGCUCAGGUGCGAAAGCGUGGGGAGCAAACAGGAUUAGAUACCCCGGUAGUCCCUGUCUCUUAUAA
rnacentral:rRNA from 1 species